UACGUGGGGUGCAAGCGUUGUUCGGAAUUACUGGGCGUAAAGCGCGUGUAGGCGGCCUGUUAAGUCUGACGUGAAAUCCCUGGGCUCAACCCAGGAACUGCAUCGGAAACUGACAGGCUAGAGUCCGGGAGAGGGUAGCGGAAUUCCUGGUGUAGAGGUGAAAUUCGUAGAUAUCAGGAGGAACACCGGUGGCGAAGGCGGCUACCUGGACCGGUACUGACGCUGAGACGCGAAAGCGUGGGGAGCAAACAGGA
rnacentral:rRNA from 1 species